rnacentral:rRNA from 1 species
GAUGAACGCUAGCGGCAGGCUUAAUACAUGCAAGUCGAGGGGCAGCGCGGGGUAGCAAUACUCUGGCGGCGACCGGCAAACGGGUGCGGAACACGUACGCAACCUUCCCAAAACUGGUGAAUAGCCCUCCGAAAGGAGGAUUAAUACACCGUAACAUAUAGAUGCGGCAUCACAAUUAUAUUAUAGUUUUAACGGUUUUGGAUGGGCGUGCGCCUGAUUAGGUAGUUGGCGGGGUAACGGCCCACCAAGCCUGCGAUCAGUAACUGGUGUGAGAGCACGACCAGUCACACGGGCACUGAGACACGGGCCCGGCUCCUACGGGAGGCAGCAGUAAGGAAUAUUGGUCAAUGGACGAAAGUCUGAACCAGCCAUGCCGCGUGAAGGAUGAAGGCCCUCUGGGUUGUAAACUUCUUUUAUCUGGGACGAAAAAAGGGAAUUCUUUCCCACUUGACGGUACCAGAGGAAUAAGCACCGGCUAACUCCGUGCCAGCAGCCGCCGUAAGAC